GAACCCCUACGGGGCGCAGCAGUAGGGAAUCUUCCACAAUGGGCGAAAGCCUGAUGGAGCAACGCCGCGUGGGUGAAGAAGGUCUUCGGAUCGUAAAACCCUGUUGUUAGAGAAGAAAGUGCGUGAGAGUAACUGUUCACGUUUCGACGGUAUCUAACCAGAAAGCCACGGCUAACUACGUGCCAGCAGCCGCGGUAAUACGUAGGGGGCAAGCGUUAUCCGGAUUUAUUGGGCGUAAAGGGAACGCAGGCGGUCUUUUAAGCCUGAUGUGAACGCCUUGGGCUUAACCGGUGUAGUGCAUUGGG
rnacentral:rRNA from 1 species